rnacentral:rRNA from 1 species
UACGUAGGGAGCAAGCGUUGUCCGGAAUCAUUGGGCGUAAAGCGCGCGUAGGCGGCCCUGUAAGUCCGUUGUGAAAGUCAAAGGCUCAACCUUUGAAAGCCGAUGGAUACUGCAGGGCUAGAGUUCGGAAGAGGCGAGUGGAAUUCCUGGUGUAGCGGUGGAAUGCGCAGAUAUCAGGAGGAACACCAAUAGCGAAGGCGGCACUCUGGGCCGAUUCUGACACUGAGGAGCGAAAGCGUGGGGAGCGAACAGG